UACAGAGGGGGCAAGCGUUGUUCGGAAUUACUGGGCGUAAAGGGCGCGUAGGCGGCCUGCUAAGUCGAACGUGAAAUCCCCGGGCUCAACCCGGGAACUGCGUCCGAUACUGGCAGGCUUGAAUCCGGGAGAGGGAUGCGGAAUUCCCGGUGUAGCAGUGAAAUGCGUAGAGAUCGGGAGGAACAUCUGUGGCGAAGGCGACUGCCUGGACCAGCACUGACACUGAGGCACGAAAGCGUGGGGAGCAAACAGG
rnacentral:rRNA from 1 species